AUUGAACGCUGGCGGCAUGCCUUACACAUGCAAGUCGAACGGCAGCAUGGGUGCUUGCACCUGAUGGCGAGUGGCGAACGGGUGAGUAAUGCAUCGGAACGUACCCGGAAGUGGGGGAUAACGUAGCGAAAGUUACGCUAAUACCGCAUAUUCUGUGAGCAGGAAAGCGGGGGAUCGCAAGACCUCGCGCUUCCGGAGCGGCCGAUGUCGGAUUAGCUAGUUGGCGGGGUAAAGGUCCACCAAGGCAACGAUCCGUAGCGGGUCUGAGAGGAUGAUCCGCCACACUGGGACUGAGACACGGCCCAGACUCCUACGGGAGGCAGCAGUGGGGAAUUUUGGACAAUGGGCGCAAGCCUGAUCCAGCCAUGCCGCGUGAGUGAAGAAGGCCUUCGGGUUGU
rnacentral:rRNA from 1 species